CACGUAGGGCGCAAGCGUUGUCCGGAAUUAUUGGGCGUAAAGAGCUCGUAGGCGGUCUGUUGCGUCCGCUGUGAAAACUCGGGGCUUAACCCCGAGCCUGCAGUGGAUACGGGCAGACUAGAGGUAGGUAGGGGAGAAUGGAAUUCCCGGUGUAGCGGUGAAAUGCGCAGAUAUCGGGAGGAACACCGGUGUCGAAGGCGGUUCUCUGGGCCUUACCUGACGCUGAGGAGCGAAAGUGUGGGGAGCGAACAGG
rnacentral:rRNA from 1 species